UAGUUUAAACUUUUUAAGCCCAAUUUUCUAAACCAAUAACCAAUCCCUAACCUACUCUGAUUAAACCCAAACAAUGCAAAGUUAACUCCAACAAAAAACUUGUCCAAAAAAAUCGAAAGGGGAGAAGAUUGAGAAUGAACCCUAGAUCUACUAGCCGCCGCGGUACUAAUCUCUUCGCCAUUGUCACCAUCAGGCAUCAAGCUCACCGUAGCGUCUGAGAUGAAAGGGAGAGUAACCGGCGACGCCCGCGACGCCAUCCUUCCCAAGGUCCAGGAGCAGGUUUCCAUCCUCAACUCCACUUUCUCAUGGAAGGAGUCAGAUCGAGCCGCCGCCAAGCGCGCCACUCACACGCUCGCCGAUCUUGCCAAAAAUGAGGAAGUGGUGAACGCGAUUAUCGAAUGAGGAGCUAUUCCGGCUUUAGUUCAACAAUCAGCACCUCCAAGCUCCUCUCGUCACGGAAGAAGACCUCAUUCAGAAGCUGUUGCGUUUGAGUAUGAGGUUGAGAAAGUGAAAGUAGUAAUGGAAUCAAAGUGCUUAAUGCUAAAAACACAAUGCAGAAAGCAAAGGAAAAGAAUCUAAAGGGUUACAGAGAGAAGCAACAAUUCUCCACAGAGUCUUCAAUAACUUCUAUGUGUGUGGUGGAAACUGCAGGUGGAGUUGCGAGUCUCGGUGCUUCUGGAUCACUUUAAUGUGACUUAUAUAAGUGAAUUUGGUGCUCCAGAAUUUUGAUACUUUAGUUACAAUUUCAAUUUCAAAUGAAUAUAUGUCUCAAUUUAUAUGUUAAUGCAAAAGGCUUGCACAUUUUUCUAGGUCCGCUAUUUGCAAUUUCUGGAACAAUUUCUGCUUAUGAGAGCUUGACUCUUCGAGGUUAUGAUGUUGUUGCUGUUGUUUUGGAAGAUCACGGCCUUCUAAAUGAGGGUCGAAUAAUGUCUUAUAUGCGGAACAAGCUUCCUGUUCUAGUACUACCCCCUGUUCCAAAAGGUGUCAUUAUAUGGUGAUAAGUGAUAACUUGUUACUACAUGAUUCUAGUUUGUUGGUUUUUUUAAAGGCUCAGAGCACAGAAGUUGUAGCUCUGCUAUUUGAUGCCUGUGCUAGUUGGUGGACUCAAGGACCUAAUGCUAUAUUACAGAUUAUGCUUCUAGAAGCCGUUGUAAUAGUUAUGGCACCAAGAGACAGUUCAAGAUUAUAUCAUUGGAACUGAAGCCAUCCAGAGUUUGUGAGAUAAGUCUGAGAAGUGUUACAUUCUAGAUUAUAUCAUUGUGCUCAGAGUCUUGUAGCUGCUGUUUCCUCAUAUCGACUCUACUCCAUAAUGUGUUGUUCUGCCAAAAUAGUUGCUUCUUGGGGUUACUUUCUUCAGAGUAAAAUAGUUAAUUACAGUGUGUAGCAGAUGCUAAUCCACACAUAACUUAUAGAAAGAAGUUUUCAAUAUUGAACCAAUAGGAUUAAUUCUCGGUCCAAUUAAAGUAAAUUAAAUUGAAUUAACAAGAAAAAUGGGGUAAAUUUAGGAAAACUAGAUAAGAAGCAGGUACUAUGCUAUUCUUGAGUCAUAGAGGGUUUGUCAUUCCUGCAAAUUGACAAAAGCUUGACAUCAAGACCAAAAUGAGGAUGAGAAAACAGAAUUCAACAAAUUAAUGAGUGAAGACAGUGGCUCGGAUUGUGGAAAGUGAUGCAAGGAAAGUAAUUUGCAAGGAAGUAGAGAGGAUCAAACCUGUGGCUGUAGUUCUGGGAUCAAGAGGCAGAAGCUUAAUUCAGAGUGUGCUACAGGGAAGUGUUGGAGAGUACUGCUUCCACCACUGCAAAGCAGCACCUGUUGUCAUCGUUCCUAGAAAAGAUGCUGGAGAUGCAUCAAUAUUGUAGUGAAGCUUUGUACGUAUGUCAAUUGGCCUUGUUAAUAUAUCUAACAGUCAUGUUUAGUGAAAUGAAGAUUGGUUCUGACUCAUUUUCACCAAGAAUAGAGAUGUUUUUCUUGUAUAUUUUCACAUGUUAACCACUAGCAUGUUAUUAAUUCAAUGGCUUAGUAACUCAUUUUCUCAUUGUGCUAUUUAGACUUUCUUUGAUGUUACAAAGCAUCUGGACAACUUUAUUUUUUGAAUAGGUUUAUUUGAGUUGCUGUUAGAUUCUACUGGUAUAAAUAUACUAUUCAUUUGUAGUUGUAAUUAAUGUGAUUAAAAAAUGAUGGUAGUGUACUAUAUUUUGU